UGGGCGGUGUCCCAGCCACCCGCGCUCCCUUCUGAGACUCCAGCCUUAGCACGGUCUUUGGGCUCCGCCUUCUAUGAGUGGUGCUGUCACAAAGGGACAAGAGAAUGAGAAGAAGAUGCGGCUGUUUUCCGUACUGGAGUUGACACAGGCUGGAGAUGACAGCUGUGAACAGACGUCGAAAGAAAUGAAAGCCAUGGGCUGUGAGAAGGGGACUCUUCCUGCCUUCAGUCUGGCGGAAACCCCAGAGGUCAGGAGUAACCCGAUGGGUAACAGGUGCCCUCCCCUCCACCUGCGCAGGAAUUGCAAGGGGGCGGGGGGUGGAAAUCGGCUUUGAGACCCUUAGCUCAGGGCCUACCUCGAGGAGGUUGGAGAAGCUGAAAGAGAGGACGGAGUUGGGGAGACACUGCGGUGCACCUCCAGUCUCCUGAACUGCCAGACCCAGGCCUAGAAAAGUCUAGGAGACUGAGACUGUGGUCGCUCAGCCCCUGCAGGGUGAUGGAUUACUGCCAGCGGCAACCGGAAGUAGCUGGCGAGUGGGCCAAAGGGGUGAGUUUCUUCCACCCAGCGGUUCGGAGUCCCACGGAAGCAGCUGGGCUGGGCUCCCUUGGGAUUCCCAGUGAGAGGCCUGCCUGGAAAUGGGAAGGAUUCCAGUGAAGGGAAGGCGCUGGACCCCAGGAUGCCAAGGGUCUGCGGGCCAAAUGGAAAGUGGCCAGCCAGAGGAGACACGUCCCCUGCCUUUAAGGAAGCUCAUUCAGAGGUUCCCAGUGGGUGGAGCUCCCAGGAACCACACACACACACACCCACCCCAAUGACAGAAGGAAUCCACUACAAACACCACGGAGCCCAGAAAGCACGAUGCCGCAGCCUAACAGCGCCAGUCACGUGAGGCCUUCGUGUCCCUUAACCUCCUCGCGGUCAGGUGGGGAGGAGAAGAAGUAAGAGUGGGGUAGGGGAGAGGUGUCACACGAAUGAAAUUCAGAACUUGGAUGUGAGGUGGCAUGUUAAUUGCUAGGUCUCGAUGGCUGUUACACUUGGAAGUGACUGGAAGACGUGACUGUUCUCGUCAGCAUACUGCUAUCUGUCAUGACCUAGAAGCGAGCGGGAAAGUCACGGGAACUGCCCAACACAUCAUGUGCGUGGGCGGGCAGGGGGAGGAAAAGGAGGGCUGCCGAUGCACCUGCGACUGCCCCGAGGGCAAGCUCCAAGGUGCAGUGAUGACGGGUGGUGGCAGCUCCUGUUUCCCCACCUUGUCCCAGGAAUCGGGCUUCCAGUCGGCCCAGAAGGGCCUGGGAGCCUGGAAAUCUCAGGUGCGGACGUGGGGGGCACCUUGUGAUUGUCUUCAAAAAUUAACCCACGGUGGAAUCGGAGAAGUCGGACUGGCCAUUGGUGCUACCGUGUCAGAAAUUCCUUUGUGCCCAGCACUGUGCGGGUACAUUUCAGGCGGAAGGCAGUGAACUCUGGCUUCCGAAUGCAGUGUCACUGCAAAUUCUCACCUCAUGAGUUGUCAUCUGAUUGAGAGACGGCCUCAGAGAGAGCUUUUUGGUUCAUAUCUCAGAAACCACCGCCCCGGCCUGUCAAACCCAGAGAUUUAGGAUGGCAUCGGACCCCAAAUCUGGAAAAACUUAGCAGCCUCACAGUGCCAAAUCCAGAGGCGAAAUAUGCACACUGAGAAACCAGAAAAGCAUGGAAUGAUGGGGGGAGAGGAGGAAAAUGAAAACACUCUGUUUCCACUGACAGAAUCAGUCUUUGCCAGGAAAACUGGAAUGUUGACUUGGUUCGCACAUAAUUCAAUUUUCUACACACUCAGAAGGAGAGAAAAAGCCAGACGCUGGGAGAAAGUGCUGAUGCAGUUUUUGACAUUGGCAAAGGCAAUGUGUAUAUGAACUCAGCCUCGUGUGCAAUACUCAACCAUCUAAAAUGGCAAGUGUCACAACGUUUUAUACACAGCAUGGUCUCAACGAUGUGGAAAUGUCCACCUAUCCAGAUGUCCGUCUUUGUUUCUAACUAGCUUGAUUUAUCACGAUAGACAAACGAUUAGGUGAAUAUAUACCAAGGUGCUGGUAGCAGCUGGCAGGGCACGGGCAGUUUUUAUCCUUGACCUUUAUAUUUGUCAGUGUUUUUCAAUUUUUCUAAAGUAAAAAAAUGUAUUUUUAAGUGACUUUUAAAACCUAAUUGGUGCCUUCAUUAUGUGAACAAGGCGCAUGUACCUGACCUCAUGUAUAAACGCUCUCCUAGGGAACAAGGUUCUAAAUGAGCUACUCUCCUUUCCCAUCUUUUCAAUGCCCCUAGGCCCCACUGAUUUGAAAUAACUGCUGUUAGAAUUUUUUGUUUCUAUUUUUUUUUUUUUUUUAGUUUCUUACCAUUAAAUAUUUACACCCGGAACGAAAAGCCCAGAGAGCCUACGGCAAACCAAGGAUUCAAGCCACAUGUAAUGGGAGGGGCUGCAACUAUGCGCCACCUGGUGGCUGGAUUCCAGAAUGCGGGCCCAGCGUGGCCAGAUCUUUUUAAGAGAAACGGUUAAAUAUGAAAUAUCCCAAAUUUCAACACUUGGCACCUAACUUGAAAAUUUUAGAAGCAGUGUCUGGGCCACCCUGCAUACAACGGAGGGACAUAUUUUACAGCAUUGAGGCCUCUGCUUUAAGGAACAAACGUAGAGUGCUGUGUCUUAAAUUAUCAACCCUAAACAACGGCCAGGGACCAGAGAGAGAAGGAAUUUUGUUCACAUACGUUCCCUCCACUGCCCCUUCUUCCUUUCGCCUCCCUGCUUUUAGCCAUUAUAUUAUUGCUUCUUCUACCAGUGGCCUUUAUUACUUUGUACAUUUGCCUUCCGUUUAAAAAGUUUUUGGCAACUUUUUCAGCCUAUACGAUGGAAGAGGAGGAAAGCAUCUUUCUUCAACCUCUGCGGUGCAGCUCCCCUCUCUUAUGUAUCUGAAACAUUCUACACACUUUCAUCCAUUCACUCAUUUAGUCAUUCACUCAACAAAUAUUCACGGAGCGUCUACUCACGUGCCACGCACUCUUCUGGGCACGGAAUCUCCCGUGAUGUUUGAGUUGGCUGGCCCAGCCUUGCUUCAGGCUGCAGGUCAGGUUCAGGUCUGUAACAGGUUUCUCACUCUGCAAUCCGGGCUAGAUGUGCUGGAACAAGCCCAUUAUGGGAAUUCCUGGAGGAGAGAGAGGAAACACCCAAUACUUCUCAAUCCCUAGGCUGGGAACUGACACCCUGUGGCUUCAGCCCACCUCCUAUUGGCCAGAGCAAGUCACAUGACCAAGCCCAACCUCUGUGAGGGUGAGGCGGAAAAGCUCGCGAUGCUGAGAGUGGGCAGGGAGUGAAUGUUUGCUGAACAAUAACUGACUCUACCACAGCUUCCCUUUGACUUUACGGUUUGUAGUGAGUUUUGAGUUUCUUUUAGAUUUUUAUUACACAUUUUAAUAGGGUUAUUUUUGAAAUGUCUGACAACGCAGAGAAGCAUAAUUAACCAUACUAAAAUUCCCUCUUAUUCUACUGCCUAGGGAGACAAACAUUAUUAAUAUUGUGGUCAAUCUCCACGCAGAGUAGAAAAUUUGUGUGCACCGCGGAGGCUGUGGAUUCAGACGAUAGUGGCCAUUUGACGUUAGGUUUCCUUUGGCUUUUGGAAAGUCAAAGAGACAAAUGCCCACUUUAUAGUCAUUUUAGGCAGAUUUAAAACUGUGUUUCACCAGUGGUUCUGUAACUGGGUAGGUAUCUAUCCAUCUAAUCAAUAAAGCACACAACACGUGUUACUUACCUUCUACGUGUAAAUUGGGGGCUUAAAAAAUCUCUCUGUUACCUUAGAUAUUAACACUGUAUUGAUCAGCUUA